CACAAAACAAAACACCACAUUGCUCAUUCAUAAGAACCAACACCUCAUUAAUUUACAUUUUCUCAUGAGACUGCAGUAGUUCAGUCACAUCCUCAGGCUCCAUGUCUAAUUCUACUUCUCUUGCUAUUUCCACCCCAUCUGCAGUUACUUCCUCUACUGAAUCUUGGAUCUUUCAAAGUAAUCCAUGAAUGUUGGAAUGAGCUUCUUCCAAAAUCCUGUUAAUGUUGCAUUUUGACCUCCUUCCAUGAAUCACCAAUGUUUUUAACGGCAUCUAGAAUGGUGGAUCCUUUCCGGAGGCUUUUCAGUGUGCUUUGCCCAGAUCCAUGAGGAAUCACUGCCUAUGACAGCUAAAGCCUUAUGAAGUGUAUUUCUU